GGGUCCGACCUGGCUUCGACGUGGGUGCGGAGUCGGCGCGGGGCAUGCCGAGCACCAGUUCGCUCGUAAAUCCACUGGAAACAAAGUAACUGCGAACGACGAACGUUUCGCCCUCGCCGCUUAAACACCGGUGAGCCUCGCAACAGUUGGCCGAUGGGCUGGGUCUGACGGGUCACACCGAAGGGCUGCGAGGUCAUACACAUUGGCUCGUCCUGCCGUGAGUCAUUCGCGGCGGGCCUAAACCCAAAUGACUCGGGGCUUCGGUAGCGUGCUGCUGCGCGACCGGGGCCCUCAAAUCCAAAUCAGACAGCUACGCAUGUAGAACCGUCCGGCGAUGGCUUGCGGACGGGGGUUCGAUUCCCCCCGGAUCCACCA
rnacentral:tmRNA from 1 species